GAUGAACGCUGGCGGCGUGCCUAAUACAUGCAAGUCGAGCGAACGGACGAGAAGCUUGCUUCUCUGAUGUUAGCGGCGGACGGGUGAGUAACACGUGGAUAACCUACCUAUAAGACUGGGAUAACUUCGGGAAACCGGAGCUAAUACCGGAUAAUAUUUUGAACCGCAUGGUUCAAGAGUGAAAGACGGUCUUGCUGUCACUUAUAGAUGGAUCCGCGCUGCAUUAGCUAGUUGGUAAGGUAACGGCUUACCAAGGCAACGAUGCAUAGCCGACCUGAGAGGGUGAUCGGCCACACUGGAACUGAGACACGGUCCAGACUCCUACGGGAGGCAGCAGUAGGGAAUCUUCCGCAAUGGGCGAAAGCCUGAUGGAGCAACGCCGCGUGAGUGAUGAAGGUCUUCGGAUCGUAAAACUCUGUUAUUAGGGAAGAACAUAUGUGUAAGUAACUGUGCACAUCUUGACGGUACCUAAUCAGAAAGCCACGGCUAACUACGUG
rnacentral:rRNA from 1 species